rnacentral:rRNA from 1 species
UACGUAGGGUGCAAGCGUUAAUCGGAAUUACUGGGCGUAAAGCGUGCGCAGGCGGCUUUGCAAGACAGAUGUGAAAUCCCCGGGCUUAACCUGGGAACUGCAUUUGUGACUGCAAGGCUGGAGUGCGGCAGAGGGGGAUGGAAUUCCGCGUGUAGCAGUGAGAUGCGUAGAUAUGCGGAGGAACACCGAUGGCGAAGGCAAUCCCCUGGGCCUGCACUGACGCUCAUGCACGAAAGCGUGGGGAGCAAACAGG